GGAUACUGGAGUGAUGGAGGUAGAUAUGUAUAGGGGGACAGGGAUACUGGAGUGAUGGAGGUAGAUAUGUAUAGGAGACAGGGAUACUGGAGUGAUGGAGGUAGAUAUGUAUAGGGGGAAGGAGACAGGGAUACUGGAGUGAUGGAGGUAGAUAUGUAUAGGGGGAAGGAGACAGGGAGACUGGAGUGAUGGAGGUAGAUAUGUAUAGGGGGAAGGAGACAGGGAUACUGGAGUGAUGGAGGUAGAUAUGUAGAGGGGGAAGGAGACAGGGAUACUGGAGUGAUGGAGGUAGAUAUGUAGAGGGGGAAGGAGACAGGGAUACUGGAGUGAUGGAGGUAGAUAUGUAUAGGAGACAGGGAGACUGGAGUGAUGGAGGUAGAUAUGUAUAGGAGACAGGGAUACUGGA
ensembl:lncRNA